AAGGUUCAGAUGUGGAAACCGGCGAACGGGUGCGUAACACGUGAGAAACCUGCCCCCUUGACCGGGAUAGCCCGAGGAAACUCGGAUUAAUACCGGAUACUCUCUUUGGAUCGCAUGAUCCGUUGAGGAAACAGUCCGCUGCUAGGGGAUGGUCUCGCGGCCUAUCAGGUAGUUGGUGAGGUAACGGCUCACCAAGCCUAAGACGGGUAGCUGGUCUGAGAGGACGAUCAGCCACACUGGAACUGAGACACGGUCCAGACUCCUACGGGAGGCAGCAGCAGGGAAUAUUGCACAAUGGGCGAAAGCCUGAUGCAGCGACACCGCGUGCGGGAUGACGGCCUUAGGGUUGUAAACCGCUUUCAGGAGGGAAGAAAAUGACGGUACCUCCAGAAGAAGCUCCGGCCAACUACGUGCCAGCAGCCGCGGUAAUACGUAGGGAGCAAACGUUGUCCGGAUUUAUUGGGCGUAAAGGGCUCGUAGGCGGUUCAACAAGUCGAUCGUGAAAGCCCGGGGCUCAACCCCGGGAGGCCGGUCGAAACUGUUGUGACUAGAGUUCGGUAGAGGUGAGUGGAAUUCUCGGUGUAGCGGUGGAAUGCGCAGAUAUCGAGAGGAACACCAUUAGCGAAGGCGGCUCACUGGGCCGAUACUGACGCUGAGGAGCGAGAGCGUGGGGAGCAAACAGGAUUAGAAACCCUGGUAGUCCACGCCGUAAACGAUGAACACUAGGCGUAGCGGACUGA
rnacentral:rRNA from 1 species